rnacentral:rRNA from 1 species
UACGGAGGAUGCAAGCGUUAUCCGGAAUUAUUGGGCGUAAAGCGUCCGCAGGUGGCUGUUCAAGUCUGCUGUCAAAGCGCAGAGCUUAACUCUGUACAGGCGGUGGAAACUGAGGAGCUAGAGUAUGGUAGGGGUAGAGGGAAUUCCCGGUGUAGCGGUGAAAUGCGUAGAUAUCGGGAAGAACACCAGUGGCGAAAGCGCUCUACUGGGCCAUAACUGACACUGAGGGACGAAAGCUAGGGGAGCGAAAGGG